AGUGAACGCUGGCGGCAUGCUUUACACAUGCAAGUCGAACGGUAACAGGCCGCAAGGUGCUGACGAGUGGCGAACGGGUGAGUAAUGCAUCGGAACGUGCCCAGUCGUGGGGGAUAACGCAGCGAAAGCUGUGCUAAUACCGCAUACGAUCUAUGGAUGAAAGCGGGGGACCGUAAGGCCUCGCGCGAUUGGAGCGGCCGAUGUCAGAUUAGCUAGUUGGUGGGGUAAAGGCCCACCAAGGCGACGAUCUGUAGCUGGUCUGAGAGGACGACCGGCCACACUGGGACGGGGACACGGCCCAGACUCCUACGGGAGGCAGCAGUGGGGAAUUUUGGACAAUGGGCGCAAGCCUGAUCCAGCAAUGCCGCGUGCAGGAAGAAGGCCUUCGGGUUGUAAACUGCUUUUGUACGGAACGAAACGGCCUGGGUUAAUACCCUGGGCUAAUGACGGUACCGUAAGAAUAAGCACCGGCUAACUACGUGCCAGCCGCCGCCGUAA
rnacentral:rRNA from 1 species